rnacentral:rRNA from 1 species
CCUACGGGAGGCAGCAGUAGGGAAUCUUCCACAAUGGGCGAAAGCCUGAUGGAGCAACGCCGCGUGGGUGAAGAAGGUCCUCUGAUCGUAAAACCCUGUUUUUAGAGAAGAAAGUGCGUGAGAGUAACUGUUCACGUUUCGACGGUAUCUAACCAGAAAGCCACGGCUAACUACGUGCCCCCAGCCGCGGCAAUACGUAGGUGGCAAGCGUUAUCCGGUUUUAUUUGGCGUGAAGGGAUCGGAGGCGGUCUGUUAAGUCUGAUGUGAAGGCCUUGGGCUUAACCGGAGUAGUGACUUGGAAACGGGGAGACUUGAGUGCAGAAGAGGAGAGUGGAACGCGAGGUGUAGCGGUGAAAUGCGUAGAUA